rnacentral:tRNA from 1 species
UUAAUUGAAACCAAAAAGAGGUAAUUCAUUGUUAAUGAUAAAAUUGAAUUUAUAAUUCCAAUUAAA